rnacentral:tRNA from 1 species
GUGUCGGUACGCCAACGGUAAGCGGAGAGGUUGUGGCCCUCUUGAUCCCGGUUCGAGUCCGGGCCGACACCCCA